AUUUUGGGACCUAGGGUUUAGCGGGAGAGAUUGAAAACUUUGCCCGACGCUGCCCUUGUUUCGUCGCGCAAUGUUGUUAAUCCGCCAAAAUUUUGGGGUUUAGGGUUUAGCGGGAGAGAUUGAAAAAUUUGCGCAAAGUUGUAAUUCGCCAAAAUUUGGGGUUUAGGGUUUAUUUGCAGACAUAUUGCGCGACGAAUGUCGACAGCGUCGCGCAAAUCUGCUUUCUGUAAACUCGCAAAUUUUUUUGACUCUGUGUCCAAGGAGGAAGAGGGUGAAAGGGCUGGC
rnacentral:lncRNA from 1 species